AAGUCGUAACAAGGUCUCCGUAGGUGAACCUGCGGAGGGAUCAUCAUAGGAAAACAUUUACAAAAGAGGUUGUUGGGGGGGGGAGGGAAGGAAAAGCGUGCUCUGCAUUGCAUUUCUCUCUCUCGUCUCCUCGGCUUCUUUUCAAACAAACGAUCGCAACUAUAUUAUUGUAUGUGUAUGGGGGGAUUUUGGCUUGGCUUGGCUUGGCUUGGCUGAUUUGGAAGCGAGCGAGCAAAAGAGAAAGAAAAGUGUUUGCCUGAUACUGAAAAAUGCCAUUGAUUUGGUUGGAGAGUAAUAUUGAUAUAUAUACAACUUUCAACAACGGAUCUCUUGGCUCUCA
rnacentral:misc_RNA from 1 species